rnacentral:rRNA from 1 species
UACGAAGGGGGCUAGCGUUGCUCGGAAUCACUGGGCGUAAAGCGCACGUAGGCGGCUUUUUAAGUCAGGGGUGAAAUCCUGGAGCUCAACUCCAGAACUGCCUUUGAUACUGGGAAGCUUGAGUCCGGGAGAGGUGAGUGGAACUCCGAGUGUAGAGGUGAAAUUCGUAGAUAUUAGGAAGAACACCAGUGGCGAAGGCGGCUCACUGGUCCGGUACUGACGCUGAGGUGCGAAAGCGUGGGGAGCAAACAGG